AUUGAACGCUGGCGGCAGGCCUAACACAUGCAAGUCGAGCGAGUGGCGGACGGGUGAGUAAUGUCUGGGAAACUGCCCGAUGGAGGGGGAUAACUACUGGAAACGGUAGCUAAUACCGCAUACUAUCGGAUGUGCCCAGAUGGGAUUAGCUAGUAGGUGUGGUAAUGGCUCACCUAGGCGACGAUCCCUAGCUGGUCUGAGAGGAUGACCAGCCACACUGGAACUGAGACACGGUCCAGACUCCUACGGGAGGCAGCAGUGGGGAAUAUUGCACAAUGGGCGCAAGCCUGAUGCAGCCAUGCCGCGUGUAUGAAGAAGGCCUUCGGGUUGUAAAGUACUUUCAGCGGGGAGGCGUUACCGGCAGAAGAAGCACCGGCUAACUCCGUGCCAGCAGCCGCGGUAAUAC
rnacentral:rRNA from 1 species